rnacentral:rRNA from 1 species
GGGGAAUUUUGGACAAUGGGGGCAACCCUGAUCCAGCCAUGCCGCGUGAGUGAAGAAGGCCUUCGGGUUGUAAAGCUCUUUCGCGAGGGAAGAAAUUGCACCGGAUAAUACCUGGUGUAGAUGACGGUACCUUGAUAAGAAGCACCGGCUAACUACGUGCCAGCAGCCGCGGUAAUACGUAGGGUGCGAGCGUUAAUCGGAAUUACUGGGCGUAAAGCGUGCGCAGGCGGUUUCGUAAGACAGGCGUGAAAUCCCCGGGCUUAACCUGGGAACUGCGCUUGUGACUGCGAGGCUAGAGUACGGCAGAGGGAGGUAGAAUUCCACGUGUAGCAGUGAAAUGCGUAGAGAUGUGGAGGAAUACCGAUGGCGAAGGCAGCCUCCUGGGCCAGGACUGACGCUCAUGCACGAAAGCGUGGGGAGCAAAC